rnacentral:tRNA from 1 species
GGGUUGUUAGUAUAACGGCAAUUACCGCACGCUCUUAACGUGUCAGAUCAGGGUUCGAAUCCCUGGCAACCCAC